CCUACAGACGAAGAACCAUAUAUGUGACAUUUAAAAAAAAAAAGAGAUAUACAUGAAAAAUCAUUAUUGGACACCAUUUUUCUAUAGUGAACCGGUUUCACAAGCUUUCCAUGCGCUAAUUAACAAUAAUUUUAAAUUUAAAGAUAGGCUCUCGUGGAAUAACCGUUUAUGUGCACCACCUUUCUGUUGCUGAUGAAAAUCACAGAAAUGUGGGAAAGAAAGGUAAAACAAAACUAAAAGAAUGGAAAGACAGGCAAAGGAAGAUCUUACGGGAUGCGGGAAAACCCUAUACAAAUCGUAAGGGUCAAGAAAAAACUGGGAAAAGCUGUCCAAAAGAGCAUGAGGUGAAACGGAGACGUAAACCUGAGGAUACAAAGGAGAACAAACGACGGAAACAAACCUUCAAAUACCAUGUACAGCAAGCAGGCCAGAGAUUGAAUGUGUGCAAGAUGCUGACAGAUGCUGUGGGCAGAAUAACAACUGGCGGAUGCUCAAUCUGAUGUCGAUGCUCGUCUCUAUGGGUUACUUUACCCAAGUUGAGCAGAAGUUCAUGGUCUCUGGUCAUUCUUUUCUUCCUUGUGAUCGAUCUUUUGCCACCAUCGAGAAGAGGCGCAAGGUGUCAGUCCUUCAUACACCGGAUGAUGUUUCAAAGAUGAUACUUGAAGCACAACCAGCAAAACCAUUCAAGGUGAUGAGGAUGCAAUGUGAAGACUUCAGGCACCUCCCAGAUUCUGUCCUCAAGCGACCAGGUGGACUACAGAUCACCUCAGUGAGGUGGUUAAAAGUCACAGUUGAGGAUCCUUGGAAUCUGUACGCCAAACAGAGCCACAGUCUAUUUGAGGGAUGGAAGUCGUGGCUGAUCUCCAAACUAAAAGGAGGAGCUACACCUCAACCUCCCUAUUUUGCAAGCCACUACCCUAGAGCAUAUGAGAGUCCUCUGCCCAUCAAAAACAACAAGUACCAAGAUCUGAUGACCUGCUCAACUACUUGCCAGCUGCUGCACGCUCUUUUUAUGAAUCACUGCAGAGUGAAUAAUUUGUUGUUAAACCAAGCUACAUAAUUAAACGUUUUUUCUGUGAGUUUAUGAUCCCCUGAACCUGUAUACUGUAGUAUGUUGAAUCUAUAUACAUUUCAGAAGACAUGUCACCCCUAUUGUAGGAAAUUAAAUGUAUCGUAGGUGUUUUCUAUGUGAUUCAAUUUGUGUAUGAUUUGAACCAGCACAAUAUAUUGAAUUAAUUUAAUUUUAAGAUGUUGUUCCUAGUGUAGAAAAUGUUAUGUACAAUGUGUUCUGUUGAAUUAUUUUGUGUGAUCAUUUGAACCUUUUUUAAUCUGAAUGAAUUAAAAACAAAUAAGUCAUCAC